rnacentral:tRNA from 11 species
UAUUGUGUGAUGCGGUCUGUCUGUUCGGUAUAUAAACCGAGUAUGUUUGAAAUAAAUGAUUCUCAUA